rnacentral:rRNA from 1 species
GACGAACGCUGGCGGCGUGCCUAAUACAUGCAAGUCGAACGAACCGCGACUAGGUGCUUGCACUUGGUCAAGGUGAGUGGCGAACGGGUGAGUAACACGUGGGUAACCUACCUCAUAGUGGGGGAUAACAGUCGGAAACGACUGCUAAUACCGCAUAGGACAUGGGAUCACAUGAUUCUGUGAGGAAAGGUGGCGCAAGCUAUCGCUAAGAGAUGGACCCGCGGUGCAUUAGCUAGUUGGUAGGGUAACGGCCUACCAAGGCGAUGAUGCAUAGCCGACCUGAGAGGGUGAUCGGCCACAUUGGGACUGAGACACGGCCCAAACUCCUACGGGAGGCAGCAGUAGGGAAUCUUCCGCAAUGGACGCAAGUCUGACGGAGCAACGCCGCGUGAGUGAAGAAGGUCUUCGGAUCGUAAAGCUCUGUUGUUAGAGAAGAACAGCGCAUAGAGUAACUGUUAUGCGUGUGACGGUAUCUAACCGGAAAGCCACGGCUAACUACGUG